rnacentral:ncRNA from 2 species
UGUCGGGUAAGUUCCGAC